rnacentral:lncRNA from 1 species
CUCCUCUCCACAUCCCUCCUUCCCAUUUGGCUGCCUCCUCCCUGCCCUGCUGCACAGAGACACUGGUAAUAAUGACAACAACACACAGAGAAAGACUUUAUACUGUAAGGGAGAGAAAGAGAGAGAAAACCAACAUCCACAAGCCGAAAAUAAUGCAUACCGUUAAAUAUACCUGUUAUAACUCCAAGGGGAGCACCAUCUACCUAUCCACCACCAAAACUGACAGCCGAGCAAGCAACUUCUUUCUCUCCACCCCAUCGCUGGAUUGUUCCUUCCACUCUUGCUCAUCGUAUAAAACAAUAAACCCUCAAGCGGCUUCAGCAACUUUCAGAGAGCUAACAACAGAUCCUCAGAGUGCUAUCAACCAGAUGACUGCAAAUCCUUCCAUUGCCCACCAGUCAGUUAGAAAUGAAGAAGCUUCUUGGAUGAGAAGUGAAACAUCAAGGGAAAAAAAAUCAAGAAAGUCCACUUGCCUUUUGGAAAGUCCCUUUGGGACAUUGACAUUUCAAGUUUAAAAUAUAAGCUCAGACUUUUACCAGUAAAUAUCGGUUUAUUCCUGAAACCAGAAGCCCUAAACAUAUCUUUGUUUAUAAGGUCAGUCUUCAUUUCCUGUUUCUGUCCUUCCCCACUUAUUUACAAACUCUGUUGUUUUUUCAGGUUAUGGAAGGUAUGGAGUAUUCUUUUUGUUUUCCUGCUUGCCACCAUUUUUUUUAAAAAUUGAACUUUGUUAUGCGUGCAGACUGGAGUUUUGGGCAUUCUUUUCAUCUUAGAAAAUUUUAUAUAUAGCUAAUAAUUAUAUUGAGGUCCAGAAGAACAUUCAAUUUAAAUGUUUAUUAUUUUAAUAUAUAAAAUUGCAGAGUGAAUUAGUCAUCCAUUUAGCAAAAUUCUUAGAUGGGCAUUGACUAUUUAUAGUUAAACAUGAUAUAAUUCCAAAAAGUGUUAACAUGUAGUAAUGAAGCACUGAGUUUAAAAUAGGAUUGUGCUUCAAGUGAAUUUUGAAAUAUAUUUCUACAGAAUCAUUUAAAUAAAAGUAGGAUUGGACUUCAAUAAAAUUGUUGCCAAUUCUACUGUGAUAGUAGCCAAUACAGAAUGACAUUGAAUUUAUUGAAUUCAAUAAAUUGAAUAUGUUGCAAUAUUUUCUGAAAUGGUGAUCCAUAAUUAUAGUAUACUUAACUGAAAUUACCUGCAAGCACCCUUCUUUCCAUUAACUCUUGCUUUUAAAGAACAUGUAUCAAUAUCAAGCUAUACUUUUUAAUUUACAAACCAAGUAAUAUCAGUGGAGCACUGGUAACUUCAACAGUACCCUCAUGUGCUUCUUGUCAUCUGCUUCUGAUAUCUGAAUGCCUGCAGUCCCAUGGAAGUAUUGGGAAUCUCAUAUAUUGGUGAUUGGGGUUAGGAUUCUGUGUUCCUCUGUAUAAUGCUUUUUAUUAUUUCAAGCAUUACACUAAAUGGGAGGGACUAGGUAGGCUGUCAUCCUGUGUGAAUGUUGGGGUGGCCUAUAGAGUUGUGUAGCAUUUAUCAUGUUUGGUUAUAUCAACAAUUCUUCCUUUUAAACAAAAUCCCUUUCAUUCUUGAAUUUUCAGUUUCUUGUCCCAAUUGAAAACUAAUUUUCCUCCCCUUUUGCAGCUGUCUUUUUGUGAUUAUGAUUGUGCAAUAUUAUUGGCCACAACUUUAAUCUGAGCAAUUGACACUGGUCCAUCUUCAAAUCAUUCAGAAGACUUGAAGAGAACUUCUCUUUCUACUCUGGAAUUCAAAUGUAUAUAUUUUAUUUGAAAUACGUUAUUUAAAAGUCAAGUUUGUCUCAUCUUCAGUACCUAUAGAUUAUAGUGCAAUUCAAAAACUUCCAAAAAUACUAUAUUAUGAGCCUUACCUAUAUAGAUAAUUCCUUUCAUGAUUUCAAAUUGAAAAAAGACUUCAUUAAUUAGAUAUAUCAGCCGUGGUUUUUUUAGUGUCAAUAUUGUAAUUUUGUAAUAUUGUCAAUAUUUAAUCAAAUUGUUGCACAGGUGCCAAUUCAAUUUUAUUCAAAGGUGCUUGACUUUUCCAUACUAUGUUUCUGUCAGUAUUCAGGUGAUACAGAUAAUUCUGUGCGCAAACUUCCCACAAUACUAAAUAUCCCUAUAGAGAUACAGAGAUAUAUAGAUACAUACAUACAGCUGAAAUUCUAAGCCCAAUAUUGUUAAAUAUCUUUACUGAGUGCCUGUUAAUACGGUAAUUUGAAAUUGUGUAUAACACAACGAUCGGGUUCACAAUGUCAGACUAAAGUUUCAAAUACUGAUUUGAUAGGCUAAACAAGGCCUUUUCUAGCUAAUUUGCUCUUGUUACUUUCAAGUGGUAAAACAAGCCAGGAUUUACCAAGUGUACAUUUUUUUCAUUGCAGGUAAAGCAGAAACUAAGUCUUCAAAUGAGUCAGUAUUCAUAAAUCAACUUAGCCCCUUAAAGAUGGCUUCUAAUCCUUAGCUGUUAGAAAUAUUUAAUCAUAGUCAUGAGAAUCUAUUAAUAAAUUCAUGUUUCUGUUUUUUUCCUCAUUCUCACAAUCAGAAGGAAGAAGCAAAAAGUGAUUAUACCAUGUGUAGCCAAAAACUGCUAAUAGUUAACAUGGUUUAUUUUGCCAUAUGAAGGUUUUUACUGCUUUAUGUGCAAAUCUGGCCAAUGAAACAGUAGGGUUUGUAAAUAUUUUUGAAUAGAUGUCACCAGAAAGAUAGUAAAAACUGAAAGACACUUUAAAAUUUGACAGAAUAAAAACUGAACAAUAGUUUGAAUUAGUUUUAAAAUUGUUUGGGCCUGAGAUCUUCCCAAUUUUCUGUUCUCUUGAAUUCUUAACUUAGAAUGAACUUGGCUCAAAUGUAGGAUUUGUCCCAAGGCUUUAGCACCUUGUGCACAGUUUAAACAUUUCCAAACUGUUUUCUAGGUAAGAAGAAUAAUGGGAACUACUCUGGAAAUCAGUGCUUGUUCUGAGAAUCUUUUCUUCUCAAGAUGAGGUACCUGCACAAAUAAUCCAGGAAGUUCAGAAUGUUAUUGUCUCUUGAAAAAUAUUGACUGCUGGAUGACUUUUUGUUAUCUGAAUGUAGGGGUACUGUUAAAAUUUAUAACCACUUUUAAAAUAGAAGGAUUUCCUUUUUCUCACAAUGGUGCACAUCAUUGUAUUUGAAUGGAAAGAUCUGACAGGGCAAAGUAAUCCUAAAUACCUUUCCUUACUGGAUUUAGAAUGUUUUGCACAUGUCAAUUUUCUGUAAAGAUCAGAACAAUAUUUCUCUUGUCUGCAUAUUUUUGCUAGUUAAUAUUUAUUAGAUGUGCCAAGCUCCAUUGGAUAUAUUUUUCUGUAACUUCUGAAAUUAUUAAAUAACCAUAUACUGUAUGAGUACACACAUUAGAACACUGGAAUGUUGAACUAAGCAUUUUUAUGUAAAUAAUUACUACUUUUCAGUUGCAGAAAAGCCUGGGUAUCAUCUCAUAACUGUUGUAUUUUGCCCUAAUGGGAAAUGUUCAGACAUUCUGUGAUGUAUGUACUUGUGCCAAUGGUUAUGUGUAACUACUAAUUAUAAAUUGUAAACAUGCUUGUUUCAUUGUUCAGAAUAGUAUUUCUCUUGUUAAAAAUAUUUUCAGUUAAAUGUGAAAAGGAAUUUAUUUAUUUUUUUAAGAUUGUCUUGCAAGGUCUGUUUUCUCUACUUUUUUCCUAAAAAAUAGUAGGGUAAAGAUUGGAAUUUUGUCUAGUUUUUCACUUGAUAGACCAAAGUUACUAUUGACACUGUCUUGCAAUGCUGAUCAAAUGUAUAUCUUUUUGCACUUUAAAUGAAUAAGAAAUGAGGAAAAUCAAAGUGUCAAUUGUACGUACAUUCACUGUACAGUGAAUGUAUACCAUUAGUUAAUCUGUUUUUAAACAGAAUAUUUUCCUUUGUGGGAAGGGGAAUACUCAAGCAAUGUAUUUGCUAGUCGAUAUAAAGUGUUUACAUGUAAUUACUUA